CCUACGGGGGGCAGCAGUGGGGAAUAUUGCACAAUGGGGGAAACCCUGAUGCAGCAACGCCGCGUGAGCGAAGAAGGCCUUCGGGUCGUAAAGCACUGUCCUAAGGGAAGAAGCAUGACGGUACCUUAGGAGGAAGCCCCGGCUAACUACGUGCCAGAAGCCGCGGUAAUAAGCAGGGGGGGAGCGUUAUACGGAAUCACUGGGAGUAAUGUGUGAGUAGACGGCCAAUUACGCAAGUGGUGAACGGCUACGGCGGAACGCUAGUAAGCGUUUGGAACUGAAUGGCUUGAGUGACGGAGAGGAGGUUGGAAGUCCUAGUGUAGCGGUGAAAUGCGUAGAUAUUAGGAGGAAGACCAGUGGCGAAGGUCACUCUAUGGACUGUAACUGACGCUGCGGCACGAAAGCGCGGGCAGGAAACAGGAUUAGGUAUCCGUGUAGUC
rnacentral:rRNA from 1 species